GCUCCGGGGAGCUGGCAAACGAGCAUUGAUCCGGAGAUGUCCGAAUGGGGAAACCCACUCCUAAUGGAGUAUCCGUAGCUGAAUCCAUAGGCUACGUGAGGCGAACGCGGUGAACUGAAACAUCUAAGUAACCGCAGGAAAAGAAAUCAACCGAGAUUCCCAGAGUAGUGGCGAGCGAAAUGGGAUCAGCCGGUACACGUUAUCUGUAUUGUUAGUCGAACGCUCUGGAAAGUGCGGCCAUAGCAGGUGAUAGCCCUGUAGACGAAAACAGCAUGGAAGAACUGGGUGUACGAGAAGUAGGGCGGGACACGUGAAAUCCUGUCUGAAGAUGGGGGGACCAUCCUCCAAGGCUAAAUACUCGUGAUCGACC
rnacentral:rRNA from 1 species